GAAAUACUCUUUUUUGAUUAGAAGGGUAUAGAGAUGAUAAGAGAUGUAUCUUGUUAGAUAUAUAUAUAUAUAUAUAUAUAUAUAUAUAUAUCUAACAAGAUACAUCUCUUAUCAUCUCUAUACCCUUCUAAUCAAAACAGAGUAUUUC